rnacentral:rRNA from 1 species
UACGUAGGGUGCAAGCGUUGUCCGGAAUUUAUUGGGCGUAAAGAGCUUGUAGGUGGUUUGUCGCGUCUGCUGUGAAAAUCCGAGGCUCAACCUCGGACUUGCAGUGGGUACGGGCAGACUAGAGUGUGGUAGGGGAGACUGGAAUUCCUGGUGUAGCGGUGGAAUGCGCAGAUAUCAGGAGGAACACCGGUGGCGAAGGCGGGUCUCUGGGCAGUAACUGACGCUGGAGGAGCGAAAGCGUGGGGAGCGAACAGG